UACAGCCACAUCACGCUGAAACACUGGUUCUCGCACGAUCACCGAAUUUAAACAAAGUCGAGCCUGGUCAGUACUUAGGUGGGUGACCGCUUGGGAAUAUCAGGCGCUGUAA